rnacentral:lncRNA from 1 species
GAUAAUUAAUUUAUUUGGCUAAAAUAGUUUAACUUAAUUUGAAUUGAACAAUUUUUAUAGUUAGAAGCGUUUUAAAAAGGGAAAAGGGAAAUAUUGACCUAUUAUUUAAGCGAAAUAUUUUGUAAAAAUACUUAUUUAUUUAUUUAUUAAGUCAAGUAAGGGAUGAAUAAUUUGGUUAAGUAAUUAAUUCAAAAUGGGUGUCUUUUGAGGAUUUGAAUUUUUAAAACCUUAAGAUUAAGCGGCAAAUAUUAACGAGCACACAAACAUAA